rnacentral:rRNA from 1 species
UAGGGAAUCUUCGGCAAUGGACGAAAGUCUGACCGAGCAACGCCGCGUGAGUGAAGAAGGUUUUCGGAUCGUAAAACUCUGUUGUUAGAGAAGAACAAGGACGUUAGUAACUGAACGUCCCCUGACGGUAUCUAACCAGAAAGCCACGGCUAACUACGUGCCAGCAGCCGCGGUAAUACGUAGGUGGCAAGCGUUGUCCGGAUUUAUUGGGCGUAAAGCGCACGCAGGCGGUCUGUCAAGUCGGAUGUGAAAUCCCCGGGCGUAACCUGGGAACUGCAUUCGAAAAUGGCAGGCUAGAGGCUUGUAGAGGGGGGUAGAAUUCCAGGUGUAGCGGUGAAAUGCGUAGAGAUCUGGAGGAAUACCGGUGGCGAAGGCGGCCCCCUGGACAAAGACUGACGCUCAGGUGCGAAAGCGUGGGGAGCAAACAGG